CUAAAGCUGGGGCUGCACUCCUGCAGCAUCUGGCCCUGCAAAUACUCCUUCAUCCACCUGCUGAGGAGGAGACAAGCCUGGCCACACGUUGGUUUUGUGCUGUGCAUGGUUCAGCCACCUGGGCUAAGCAGCACUAAUAAAUCCUCACCCUGCUAGAAACUUCUUGAUAACUGAUAUUCUCGUGCUCCUUCUGAGCCUCAGCUGCUCUCCUUCAGCAGGAAUGCUCAAAUGCUCUGCCGGGUAUUUUGAGGGAGAGGAAAGACCAGAUAAGUCAGUAGCAGGGUGCAUUAAAAGGAAAGAACAGAGUGUUCUUACCUCUCAGAUGAGCUCAGGAGUAGCUGUAGGUUUGCUGGUUAGGCCAGAAAGUGGGGAAAAAGAAAAUGUCCCACCGGCUUAUAUAGGCUAGCAUGGCUCCUGUCCUGAUAUUACUGAUUUGUUUCUCCUCCCACUUGGUGAGCUCCAAGUGAAUGUUAAGAAGGUUCCCUGUUGAAUUCUCCACCUUUCCUCUUGCUCUAUCCUGGGUCUCUUGCCAAUAAUCUGUCCAAAUGUCCUCUUUCUUGCUGUUUUUUU